AUUGAACGCUGGCGGCAUGCCUAACACAUGCAAGUCGAACGGUAACAGGGGCUUCGGCCCGCUGACGAGUGGCGGACGGGUGAGUAAUGCAUAGGAAUCUGCCCAGUAGUGGGGGAUAGCCCGGAGAAAUCCGGAUUAAUACCGCAUACGACCUACGGGUGAAAGCAGGGGACCUUCGGGCCUUGCGCUAUUGGAUGAGCCUAUGUCAGAUUAGCUAGUUGGUAGGGUAAAGGCCUACCAAGGCAACGAUGGUUAGCGGGUCUGAGAGGAUGAUCCGUCACACUGGCACUGAAACACGGGCCAGACUCCUACGGGAGGCAGCAGUGAGGAAUAUUGCGCAAUGGGGGCAACCCUGACGCAGCGACGCCGCGUGAGCGAGGAAGGCCUUCGGGUCGUAAAGCUCUGUCAGAUGGGAAGAAGUGUUAUACGGUUAAUACCCGUAUAAUUUGACGGUACCAUCAAAGGAAGCACCGGCUAACUCCGUGCCAGCAGCCGCGGUAAUACGGAGGGUGCGAGCGUUGUUCGGAAUCACUGGGCGUAAAGGGCGCGCAGGCGGUCUGUUAAGUCAGAUGUGAAAGCCCACGGCUUACCCGUGGAAGUGCAUUUGAAACUGGCAGGCUUGAGUACCAGAGGGGAAAGUGGAAUUCCCGGUGUAGAGGUGAAAUUCGUAGAUAUCGGGAGGAAUACCGGUGGCGAAGGCGACUUUCUGGCUGGAUACUGACGCUGAGGCGCGAAAGCGUGGAGAGCAAACAGGAUUAGAUACCCUGGUAGUCCACGCCGUAAACGAUGUGCACUAGAUGUUGGAGGUAUUGAUCCCUUCGGUGUCGCAGCUAACGCAUUAAGUGCACCGCCUGGGGAGUACGGUCGCAAGAUUAAAACUCAAAGGAAUUGACGGGGGCCCGCACAAGCGGUGGAGUAUGUGGUUUAAUUCGAUGCAACGCGAAGAACCUUACCUGGCCUUGACAUCCCGAGAAUCUCCUGGAAACAGGAGAGUGCUUUCAUUAGAGAGAACUUGGUGACAGGUGCUGCAUGGCUGUCGUCAGCUCGUGUCGUGAGAUGUUGGGUUAAGUCCCGCAACGAGCGCAACCCUCGCCUUUAGUUGCCAUCAGUUCGGCUGGGCACUCUAAAGGGACUGCCGGUGUCAAACCGGAGGAAGGCGGGGAUGACGUCAAGUCCUCAUGGCCUUUAUGGCCAGGGCUACACACGUACUACAAUGGCCGGUACAAAGGGCAGCGAGCCAGCGAUGGUGAGCGAAUCCCGUAAAGCCGGUCUCAGUCCGGAUUGGAGUCUGCAACUCGACUCCAUGAAGUUGGAAUCGCUAGUAAUCGUGGAUCAGCAUGCCACGGUGAAUACGUUCCCGGGCCUUGUACACACCGCCCGUCACACCACGGGAGUUGGUUGUUCCAGAAGCAGUUGAGCUAACCUUCGGGAGGCAGGCUGCCAAGGAAUGGCUGGUAACUGGGGUG
rnacentral:rRNA from 1 species